UAAUAAGUUAUUUAUAGAUGUUGUUUGAUAAGAAGGUUAUUUUUUAAUAAAAUCAUUUUUUAUUUUUGAGGGUUUUUGUAGAGGUUAUCAAUAAAAUUUUUUUAAUUAUAGUUUAAUUGUAUUGUGAGAGGUUAUUGAAAUAUGUUGAAAAUUUAAUUGUUUAAAAGUAGAUUUUAUUUAUUGUACCUUGUGUAUCAGGGUUUAUUAAAAAUUUUGUAAGUAUUUAUAUUUCCCGAUUUAAAGAGAGCUAAUUAUUUUUGUUAUUUAAUGUGGAAUAAUUAUUAAUUAAAGAUAAUUAGUUAUGAAACGUUAUCCGUUCUUUAAGAUAUCUGGUUUUUAAAGAAAUGAAUUUAAUUCAGUUAUUGAGUGUUAUUGAUUUGAUUAAUUAAGUUAAUAUGACUUAAUAAAAAUGUUUGGUGGGAUAAGCUUUUGAGCAUGAUUUAUAAAAAGUUAUUGUUGAUAAAAAUUUAGUAGGCUUAGAAUUAGCCAUCAAUUAAAGGAUGUUAUAAUUUAUUUUAUGUGUAGUAUGAUUUUAUAGAAGGUUUAAAUUUUUUAUUUAAAUGUCGUUUUAAAUUUAUUAAAUCGAGUAAUUAUGAUGAAAUUAGUAUAUUAAUUGGGUUUAAUUUAAGGUAAUUUUUAGGUUAUAUUAAGGAAUUAGGCAAAUAAAUGCUCGCCUGUUUAACAAAAACAUGUCUUUAUGAUAAUAAUUUAAAGUCUGACCUGCCCACUGAAUUUUAUUUGAAGGGCCGCGGUAUUUUGACCGUGCAAAGGUAGCAUAAUCAUUAGUCUUUUAAUUGGAGGCUGGAAUGAAUGGUCGGACGAGGCAUUGACUGUCUCAGUGUGAAUGAUAUUAGAAUUUAACUUCUAAGUUAAAAGGCUUAGAUUUAUUUAAAGGACGAGAAGACCCUAUAGAGCUUUAUAGUGAAGAAUAUAUAAUUUAUUUGGUUGGAUUUAUUUUAUAUUUUAUUAGUUAUUUUGUUGGGGUGACAGGAAGAUAGGUAAAACUCUUUUUAAUUUUAGACCAUUGAUUUAUGAGUUGUUGAUCCAUUAUUAAUGAUUAUAAGACUAAGUUACCUUAGGGAUAACAGCGUAAUCUUUUUUGAGAGUUCUUAUCGACAAAAAGGGUUGCGACCUCGAUGUUGGAUUAAGGGUAAUUUUGGGUGUAGAUGUUCAAAUUUUAGGUCUGUUCGACCUUUAGAUCCUUACAUGAUCUGAGUUCAGACCGGCGUAAGCCAGGUCGGUUUCUAUCCUUAAUUAGUUAUGAUAUUUUAGUACGAAAGGACCAAAUAUUGGAAAUAAAGUUUUUUACAGGAUUGAUUGAUAUUAAUUU
rnacentral:rRNA from 1 species